rnacentral:lncRNA from 1 species
GUAGCAGACAAUAGUGAGAGAAACAUCUGAAAAUGCAAAGAGACAGAGUUGCAUAUGUGUUUCAUUUCUGCGGGUUAGUCAGAGAAAACAACAAAAGGACAGCUGGAGGGGGGGAAUAAAACACACACUUACAAAGAGGAUUGUGACCCUCUAAGAGGGAAAGGCGAGUACAACGAAAAAACACUGCAAAAAGUAAGGAAGGACAGUGGAAGUGAAGCAGGAAGGAGUGUUGGAAAACUGAUCAAGAACAGGAAUAAGAAGUUAAAAGCCAGUCCGACUGGAUAUUCCCUAACCUUCUUUAAAAGGAGAGUUGGGGAAAAGACAGCUCGGUCCGGAUAAACAAACUGGGAAGACGCACCUGCCGAAAAUGUGUAUCUGAUGUGUCUACACAGAUGUGUGUGUGUUUAUCCAUCCAUACAUUUAUAUAGGGGGAUCUAGAGCAUCCCAACAGUCUAAUUGCAAUCGUGCGUCGAAGAGAAACAGAACAUAGUUGGAACCAAAAGCGUUCUGGAUUUGCAUCAUAACAGUCGGAACCCUUUUCUUGCCCUUCCCUUUGUCAUUUAUAGUUCAUCCAUUUACUUAAACCUCAAGCCUGGUGGGAGGAAAAGAGAAAAAAUCAGGAAUCCCAUGUGGACUCUGAAUCUCUGCCAGUAACAGGUGACCCCAAGAACUACCCGCUGAAAGCCUCUGUCCCCACUGAAAUGUCACCUUCUUCAUCUUUGGCAAUGUCCUGCUCCAUGUGCAGCUUCUGCCUCCCUCAGUGCCGUGGCCAUGGCUCCACCAGAAUCACACUGGUGGAUGAUUUAUUUGUGGAGAGAGAGACUUCCUAUAUGACUAUUGAGUAUCAAUUCUUUGAUCAGUGCAGAGCAGAUUUAAGGAAGUAAAUUCCACCUAAGAUUGUGAGUGGGAGAUAGAAAAGUACAAAGCAGCCAUCUUUUCUCUUUCAUCAGAAAGACAACACAUAAAAACCAGGCACAAUACUUUAAAGGGAAUGCUAGCAAAACUUCAUGUAUUUCUACUCUAAAAGUACAUUUCUACCAUCUUUGAAUGUACACUCUACCUGUGAUAUUCCACAGUUUGCUCUUCUAAACUGUAUUAAGCAGCUUAUAUAUGUUUAAGCUUUUGCUUUCAGAAAUGAAUUAAUGUAAUUAUUUGAAUGUUGAAUUAAAAAUAAAUUUAUUUGGAAACUCA